rnacentral:rRNA from 1 species
CUACGUGCCAGCAGCCGCGGUAAUACAGAGGGUGCAAGCGUUAAUCGGAAUUACUGGGCGUAAAGCGAGCGUAGGUGGUCAUUUAAGUCAGAUGUGAAAUCCCCGGGCUUAACCUGGGAACUGCAUCUGAUACUGGGUGACUAGAGUAGGUGAGAGGGAAGUAGAAUUCCAGGUGUAGCGGUGAAAUGCGUAGAGAUCUGGAGGAAUACCGAUGGCGAAGGCAGCUUCCUGGCAUCAUACUGACACUGAGGUUCGAAAGCGUGGGUAGCAAACAGGAUUAGAUACCCUGGUAGUCCACGCCGUAAACGAUGUCUACCAGUCGUUGGGUCUCUUGAAGACUUAGUGACGCAGUUAACGCGAUAAGUAGACCGCCUGGGGAGUACGGCCGCAAGGUUAAAACUCAAAUGAAUUGACGGGGGCCCGCACAAGCGGUGGAGCAUGUGGUUUAAUUCGAUGCAACGCGAAGAACCUUACCUGGUCUUGACAUACACAGAAUCUUGCAGAGAUGCGAGAGUGCUUCGGGA